rnacentral:rRNA from 1 species
GACGAACGCUGGCGGCGUGCCUAAUACAUGCAAGUCGAACGCAGUGGGGACGGGUGAGUAACACGUGGGUAACCUCCCAUCAGAGGGGAUAAUACUUGGAAACAGGUGCUAAACCGAUACUGAUUGGUGGACCCGCGUUGCAUUAGCUAGUUGGGUAGGUAACGGCGCACCAAGGCCACGAUGCAUAGCCGAGCUGAGAGGGUGAUCGGCCACACUGGGACUGAGACACGGACAAGACGCCUACGUGAGGCAGCAGUAGUGAAUCUUCGGCAAUGGACGAAAGUCUGACCGAGCAACGCCGCGUGAGUGAAGAAGGUUUGCGGAUCGUAAAACUCUGUUGUUAGAGAAGCGGUAGCGAACCAGAAAGCCACGGCUAACUACGUGCCAGCAGCCGCGGUAAUUC